rnacentral:rRNA from 1 species
GAAAGCAUGGGGAGCGAACAGGAUUAGAUACCCUGGUAGUCCAUGCCGUAAACGUUGGGCACUAGGUGUGGGGGACAUUCCACGUUUUCCGCGCCGUAGCUAACGCAUUAAGUGCCCCGCCUGGGGAGUACGGCCGCAAGGCUAAAACUCAAAGGAAUUGACGGGGGCCCGCACAAGCGGCGGAGCAUGCGGAUUAAUUCGAUGCAACGCGAAGAACCUUACCAAGGCUUGACAUGAACCGGAAUGAUGCAGAGAUGUGUCAGCCACUUGUGGCCGGUUUACAGGUGGUGCAUGGUUGUCGUCAGCUCGUGUCGUGAGAUGUUGGGUUAAGUCCCGCAACGAGCGCAACCCUCGUUCCAUGUUGCCAGCGGGUUAUGCCGGGGACUCAUGGGAGACUGCCGGGGUCAACUCGGAGGAAGGUGGGGACGACGUCAAAUCAUCAUGCCCCUUAUGUCUUGGGCUUCACGCGUGCUACAAUGGCCGGUACAAAGGGUUGCGAUGCUGUGAGGUGGAGCUAAUCCCAAAAAGCCGGUCUCAGUUCGGAUUGAGGUCUGCAACUCGACCUCAUGAAGUUGGAGUCGCUAGUAAUCGCAGAUCAGCAA